UGCAAGUCGAGCGGGCGAGGUUGCUUCGGUAACUGAGCUAGCGGCGGACGGGUGAGUAAAGCUUAGGAAUCUGCCUAUUAGUGGGGGACAACAUUCCGAAAGGGAUGCUAAUACCGCAUACGUCCUACGGGAGAAAGCAGGGGAUCACUUGUGACCUUGCGCUAAUAGAUGAGCCUAAGUCGGAUUAGCUAGUUGGUGGGGUAAAGGCCUACCAAGGCGACGAUCUGUAGCGGGUCUGAGAGGAUGAUCCGCCACACUGGGACUGAGACACGGCCCAGACUCCUACGGGAGGCAGCAGUGGGGAAUAUUGGACAAUGGGGGGAACCCUGAUCCAGCCAUGCCGCGUGUGUGAAGAAGGCCUUUUGGUUGUAAAGCACUUUAAGCGAGGAGGAGGCUUACCUGGUUAAUACCUGGGAUAAGUGGACGUUACUCGCAGAAUAAGCACCGGCUAACUCUGUGCCAGCAGCCGCGGUAAUACAGAGGGUGCGAGCGUUAAUCGGAUUUACUGGGCGUAAAGCGCGCGUAGGUGGUUAAUUAAGUCAAAUGUGAAAUCCCCGAGCUUAACUUGGGAAUUGCAUUCGAUACUGGUUAGCUAGAGUAUGGGAGAGGAUGGUAGAAUUCCAGGUGUAGCGGUGAAAUGCGUAGAGAUCUGGAGGAAUACCGAUGGCGAAGGCAGCCAUCUGGCCUAAUACUGACACUGAGGUGCGAAAGCAUGGGGAGCAAACAGGAUUAGAUACCCUGGUAGUCCAUGCCGUAAACGAUGUCUACUAGCCGUUGGGGGAUUUGAUCCUUUAGUGGCGCAGCUAACGCGAUAAGUAGACCGCCUGGGGAGUACGGUCGCAAGACUAAAACUCAAAUGAAUUGACGGGGGCCCGCACAAGCGGUGGAGCAUGUGGUUUAAUUCGAUGCAACGCGAAGAACCUUACCUGGCCUUGACAUAGUAGAGACUUUCCAGAGAUGGAUUGGUGCCUUCGGGAAUCU
rnacentral:rRNA from 1 species